rnacentral:rRNA from 1 species
UACGGGGGGGCAAGCGUUGUUCGGAAUUACUGGGCGUAAAGGGCUCUUAGGCUGCCAACUAAGUCGGACGUGAAAUCCCCAGGCUCAACCUGGGAACUGCGUCCGAUACUGGAUGGCUUGAAUCCGGGAGAGGGAUGCAGAAUUCCAGGUGUAGCGGUGAAAUGCGUAGAUAUCUGGAGGAAUACCGGUGGCGAAGGCGGCAUCCUGGACCGGCAUUGACGCUGAGGAGCGAAAGCCAGGGGAGCAAACAGG